rnacentral:rRNA from 1 species
AGGGUUUGAUUCUGGCUCAGGAUGAACGCUAGCUACAGGCUUAACACAUGCAAGUCGAGGGGAAACGACAUUGGAAGCUUGCUUCCGAUGGGCGUCGACCGGCGCACGGGUGAGUAACGCGUAUCCAACCUGCCCACCACUUGGGGAUAACCUUGCGAAAGUAAGACUAAUAUCCAAUGAUAUCUCUAGAAGACAUCUGAACGAGAUUAAAGAUUUAUCGGUGAUGGAUGGGGAUGCGUCUGAUUAGCUUGUUGGCGGGGUAACGGCCCACCAAGGCGACGAUCAGUAGGGGUUCUGAGAGGAAGGUCCCCCACAUUGGAACUGAGACACGGUCCAA